UACGAAGGGGGCUAGCGUUGCUCGGAAUCACUGGGCGUAAAGGGUGCGUAGGCGGGUCUUUAAGUCAGGGGUGAAAUCCUGGAGCUCAACUCUAGAACUGCCUUUGAUACUGAGGAUCUUGAGUUCGGGAGAGGUGAGUGGAACUGCGAGUGUAGAGGUGAAAUUCGUAGAUAUUCGCAAGAACACCAGUGGCGAAGGCGGCUCACUGGCCCGAUACUGACGCUGAGGUGCGAAAGCGUGGGGAGCAAACAGG
rnacentral:rRNA from 1 species